rnacentral:misc_RNA from 1 species
GGCUAAUUGGUUGGCCCUGCCCAGUUUCUCAGUUUGUGACCACCUCAAGAACAGAAAUAUAAACCUAAAAUGAGCUGGACAACAGACAUACAACCUCUAUGAUAAGAAAGUGAGUGCUAGUGUACAUGCUUAAUGGGCUUAAUUGCACCAACCAUCCUUGAACUUAAGCGAUACUUUCAAUUUCAUCCUUAAACUUCAAUUUGUUAAAAUAAAA